rfam:Batrachochytrium dendrobatidis JEL423 supercont1.11 genomic scaffold, whole genome shotgun sequence.
GUCGACCAACUCUUCAGGAUCAUAUGUAGAGUUCGUUGUACUAUACUAGCUUUUUCAAAAGAGCUACACUUAACAACAUGGAUGAUGAGACGAAGGACAACCACUCAAGGGGAAGUGCAGGACAUUUUGUGACAAUUGGGGUUUUUUUCAUUUGAAGAAGAUGCUAGUUGUUCGAUUUGUCUUGGUUGAAGACUACUCCUGAUUGCUGGACUUGCCCUUGUGGCAGUCUGGCCAGGAAGGGUGGAUGGCCCUGUCUGACAUGU